rnacentral:misc_RNA from 1 species
AACGCACCUUGCGCUCCUUGGUAUUCCGAGGAGCAUGCCUGUUUGAGUGUCAUGAAAUUCUCAACCCAUAAAUCCUUGUGAUCUAUGGGCUUGGAUUUGGAGGCUUGCUGGCCCUAGCGGUCGGCUCCUCUUGAAUGCAUUAGCUUGAUUCCGUGCGGAUCGGCUCUCAGUGUGAUAAUUGUCUACGCUGUGACCGUGAAGCGUUUUGGCAAGCUUCUAACCGUCCAUUAGGACAAUUUUAUAACAUCUGACCUCAAAUCAGGUAGGACUACCCGCUGAACUUAA